AUGAAUAUUUUGGCAUGGAACUAUCAAGGACCGGGGUUGGACUCGACAGUAGGCAAGCUACAUGAUAUGAUUAGGUCCUACAACCCAAUGGUGGUGUUCUUGACCAAAACAAAGAAGAAGACUAGUGCUAUGGAGAGACUAAAAUGGAGACUAGGAUUCCGCAAUGGUGUUGUCAUGGAUUGUGAGGGCCUCGGUGGGGGUCUUGCACUAUGGUGGAGAGACAACAUUCAGGUGACAGUUAGACCACGGUGUCAGUAUUUUAUUGACGGGAAGAUAUAG
rnacentral:rRNA from 1 species